UACGUAGGGUGCAAGCGUUGUCCGGAAUUAUUGGGCGUAAAGAGCUCGUAGGCGGUCUGUUGCGUCGGCUGUGAAAACCCGGGGCUCAACCCCGGGCCUGCAGCCGAUACGGGCAGACUAGAGUUCGGCAGGGGAGACUGGAAUUCCUGGUGUAGCGGUGAAAUGCGCAGAUAUCAGGAGGAACACCGGUGGCGAAGGCGGGUCUCUGGGCCGUUACUGACGCUGAGGAGCGAAAGCGUGGGGAGCGAACAGG
rnacentral:rRNA from 1 species